CGUUUUCUAUUAUUUUAUUUUCUCCGUUCCGUUCUUCCUUCUCCUCCUUAUCCUCCUCUUUUCCGACCUCCUCGCACCCGCAGAGAGCCUCGCCGGAGUAGUAGGAGCGGCAAGCAGGAGCGAAAGACGAGAGUGGUGAUGUCUACUUUGCCGGAUGCUGAAUUAGUCAAUGCCCUUCGCUCCCAAAUACAUUCUCUUCUGAUGAGAGUCAACGUACUUCUCUCUCUCCGUCCCCCUCUCUCGCGCGCGCCCGCCAUUGGAAACAUCAAGGAAUGUCUACUUCGCCAGAUGUCUGUGAUCGCCAAAUGCGUGAAAUUAUCCGGGAAUUGGCUCGAAGAAUCCCGGGUCUGAGCAAACGGAGAAUUUCAUUUCAAGCAUCAAGCUUGCUACUGUAUGGGUCUUAGGCCAAAGUGCGAGUUCCCCUGAAGCUUAGCUCGAUCAAGCGUGCAUUUCUCACAUGUACGUGGGAGUUUAAAUAUGCCUGCAUAAGUUGUGCAUGCAAGCCUUGUCGGCUUCGCGGCUUGCACAUUGCAUCUCAGGAGCUACAAGAGCAAAAUGCCAAGCUUUCUUCUCGACUCUAUAGAUGGUGCUGUCGAAUGAAACAAUUGAGUCGUGGGCAUGAGCUGGAGAGAUAUGUGAAUUUGCGGCGAAAGCAUUUUGGCUAAUCUAGAAACGGAGAUGGAAGUGGCGAUAGUCUUUCAGUGACUUUCAUCACUUCCAACACGAUAUUCCAGAGGUUAUUUCUUCGUUCUCAUGGGUUCAAGUUCGUUCAUUUUGCUAUGUUCCGUAGGUAGGAGUCUGACUUCUGAACUUGGGCUCCUACAAGACUUGGCAUCAAGCAGUAUCGCCAGUCAAUAUGUCUCUGAAUCAUUUCCGUCUUCCAGGGGCAUGAAUCUUAGGAGCUAUUAUGCAAAUCCCCUAUCUUUGUGAGAUGGCUCCUCAGCUGAUGUUCAUUGGAAUCCGCUUUUUGGAUUAGGAUUUGAGCUUGCUCGUCUGUCGUUUCUCAUGUUUCAUGUAUCGCUCCAGUCUGGUUCCUGAUGCUCUCUUUCUGGAGUCUCUCAUCAAAGUUCAAACUUUCUGUUUCGUGGAAGAACUUGAGGAUGUUGUUCAUACAUUUGCCCUGUCUUGGACUCACGAUGGCAAGUAAGUCGAUCUUUUAGAGGCUUUAAUUGGGUUAGAGCAAAACAUGGUUAAAAUAACAUCUUUGCACUGGGGAAAGGAGGAGGAGAAGGCCCUCAUGGAAAACUCUCAUGAACAGAACUGGAGACUUGCUGAGAUGAGGGCAUUUAAUUGGAAAUUGUCCUGUGAUCGACAAGGGCGCAAUGGACCAUAAUCUGCUGUGGGGGAAAGACUGCCGAGGGGUAUUUCCAGAAGAAUCGGAACAUCGAUGCAAUCACCUAGUAUCAUCAAGUUUCUUCUAUCCGAAUCUCCAUCAUCAGCUGUGGCCUAAACUCAUCAGAUGAAAACGAUUUUAUCUUGCAGGUCAUGGUUGAUAUGGAGGAAGAAACACUGUUGGUGGAUGGUGUCUUGGUGGCGUCGUAUUCCGGGGAUCCUCUUCAGGGAACAGUCGCUGCAAGAGGCCAACUUAUUGAGCUGGAGAUGAGGGCAGUCCCUUCUUUCAUGGCUAAUAAUUUGAGUGACUAUAGGGGCACAUUAUUUGCGGUACAAUUAUAUGAUGGUGACUAAUUCAAUUCCAAAUAAAUCGUGGGCUCUCUCUAAAACUGGACUCAGAGCAUCCAAGUUUCUGAGGGCAAAAGAGCUAUUAUGAUGGACCUAGUUGUUGAAUGUUGGCUUACCUGCUUGUGCUCCCUUAUUGCAAUAUGAUAAGUUGAGGUCUGCUAGUAGUUUUCCCUGAUCGUGUUUUACAGUAAGUGGGUAAUAGGUAUACGGUUUGAUGUCAAGGGGUAUUGAAGUCCACUUGAAACCCUCGUGGCUUGUAAGGUCAUAACUGGUCAUGGGAUUUUUUUGUGAAUUAUGACAGUUGAAACUUGAAAUUUGCUCAUCCAAAUGUUCAAACCGGCUACAUGU